ensembl:lncRNA
CUCAACAAGCAGCACCCUCCACAGCUCGCUCCCUGCGCCACACACCUAAGGGAGAAGAUCGGGUUCUUAAAGAGAUGGACUCUCCUCAGAUAUUUCAUACAGCUUUUGAACUGGCUUGCAGAAUCAAACAGCCAAAUGCCUUUGGCAGUGGCCAGUGUGAUAAUGCAAUGGGUCUCCUUCCCGCCCUGUUCUACAACUCGCGUCCUUCACUCCUGGUCCUUGGACUCACACUUGCCAACAAAGUACUCCCAUGAGAUAAGGAGCCCACACUGAGGCCUGUUGGUACCAAGCGUGGUCCCAGAAAGCAGCCCUCAGGAUAGAGUUUUGGAACCAGACCGCUCCAGUCAAAUGGCAACAACAACCCCGCAGCUAUGUUGGAAAGAGGGCAUGUGGGAUUUUAGCUCACCAACCAGGAAUGGAACUAUGCCCCCCGCACUGGAAGCAUGGAGUCUUAACCACUGGACUGCCGGUGAAGUUCUGGCUCUUUUAUCAAAAGUACAUGGCCAUGUUUGACACCAAGAUACAAGGGAUACUUCAGAGAUGCAUUGCUCUUGCAUCUUCCAGAAGCAAGAAAAUCUUCCAAAGUCACUGCUGAUAAGGGAUCACUUUGAUAUCCUUUUAGGAGUCUCCAUCUUAAUACAGGAAUCUCAGAAUCAGCUGCCCUAUUCUACAGCUGGUUCAGAGCGUAGAUUCACCAACACAGAGCUUGCAAUGGAGCUUCCCCUCAGGGCUUCUCUAACUUUUGUUAAACUAUUUGUCCAGGACUGUUUUACCCAGUUCCUGUUUUGCU